UUUAAUGAGAGUUUGAUCCUGGCUCAGGGUGAACGCUGGCGGCGUGUUUAAGGCAUGCAAGUCGAACGGACCUCGCAAGAGGUCAGUGGCAAACGGGAGAAUAACACAUUGGUAACCUACCCCGAAGCGGGAAAUAACACCUCGAAAGAGGUGCUAAUAUCCCAUAUAAUGGCUCAGGUAACGUCCUGAGUUAUGAAAGAUUUAUCGCUUUGGGAGGGGCCUAUGUUCCAUCAGCUCGUUGGUGAGGUAAAAGCUCACCAAGGCAACGACGGAUACCGGGCGUGAGAGCGUGACCCGGCUCACUGGGACUGAGACACUGCCCAGACACCUACGGGUGGCUGCAGUCGAGAAUCUUCCCCAAUGGACGAAAGUCUGAGGGAGCGACGCCGCGUGACCGAAGAAGCCCUUUGGGGUGUAAAGGUCUUUUCUUGGGGAAAAAUUAGUGAUGGUACUCAAGGAAUAAGAGGUUGCUAACUUCGUGCCAGCAGCAGCGGUAAUACGAAGGCCUCAAGCGUUACCCGGAUUCAUUGGGCGUAAAGAGUUCAAAGGCGGUUUUACAAGUCAAACGUUAAAUACUGAUGCUCAACAUCAGGCCUGCGUUUGAAACGGUAAAGCUCGAGGAUGGUAGAGGUAGGCGGAAUUGCCGGUGUAGCAGUGCAAUGCGUUAAUAUCGGCAAGAACACCAACAGCGAAGGCAGCCUACUGGAACAUUUCUGACGCUAUACGAACGAAAGCGUGGGGAGAGAAUGGGAUUAGAUACCCCAGUAUUCCACGCCGUAAACGAUGAGUGCUAGGCAUUGAAAGUAUCGACCCUUUCAGUGUCGUUCAAUCAAGCUAACGCCUUAAGCACUCCGCCUGGGGAGUACGACCGCAAGGUUAAAACUCAAAGGAAUUGACGGGAGCCCGCACAAGCGGUGGAGCAUGUGGUUUAAUUCGACACAGACCGAAUAACCUUACCUGGAUUCUUCUCACAGAAGUCUUUGGAAACAUUGACGUGCCGCAAGGAGCUGUGAGCAGGGUGAUGCACGGCUGUCGUCAGCUCGUGUCGUGAGAUGUACGGUUAAGUCCGGAAACGAGCGCAACCCUCGUAGUAUGUUACAUUGUUCAUACUAGACUGCCCUCUUUAAGAGGGAGGAAGGAGAGGAUGACGUCAAGUCAGCGUGUCCCUUACGUCCAGGGCCACACACGUGCUACAAUGGCGUGAAACAGAGGGGCGCGAAUCGGCAACGUUUUAGCAAAUCCCCAAAACACGCCUCAGUUCAGAUUGAGGUCUGAAACUCGACCUCAUGAAGCCGGAAUCGCUAGUAACCGUGGAUCAUCAAGCCACGGUGAAUACGUUCUCGGGCUUUGUACACACCGCCCGUCACUUCAAGGGAGCCGGUAAUACCCGAAAUCCCCUCGUUCUAGAGGGGCUGAAGGUAGGACUGGUGACAGGGAAGAAGUCGUAACAAGGCAUGCGUAGCGGAAGCUGUGCAUGGAUCACCUCCUUU
rfam:Candidatus Kerfeldbacteria bacterium RIFCSPHIGHO2_12_FTLL_48_17 rifcsphigho2_12_scaffold_864, whole genome shotgun sequence.